CCUUGUCUCUGCAUCGAAAUGGCUGAAGUCUACAGGGUUGAAACAUCCCUCUGAUAUGCUCAGAGCUACACUUCUUCCCAGGCUGCUGUGACAACUUGGUGACUCCACCAUGUCCAGGCUCCAGGUCCAGGAGCAGGCAGUGGAUUCCGAGGGAGACUCAUCCCUAUACAGGAGAGAUGAGGAGGGGACACAGAGCUCCCACCGCAUGCUGGGCUUUAGUGAUGCCUUACUAUCCAUCAUCGCCACUGUCAUGAUCCUGCCUGUGACCCACACAGAGAUCUCACCAGAACAGCAGUUUGACAAAAGUAUACAGAAACUUCUAGCAACUAGGAUUGCUGUCUACCUCAUGACAUUUCUAAUCGUAACUGUGGCCUGGGCAGCACAUACCAGAUUGUUCCAGGUUGUUGGAAAAAUAGAUGAUACACUUGCCUUGCUCAACCUGGCCUGUAUGAUGACCAUCACCCUUCUGCCCUACACAUUUUCGCUAAUGGUAACAUUCCCUGAUGUGCCCCUGGGCAUCUUCCUGUUCUGCAUGUGUGUGAUUGCCAUUGGAUCUGUGCAGGUAGGAACACAGGGCAAUGAUC
rnacentral:lncRNA from 1 species